CCUACGGGAGGCAGCAGUGAGGAAUAUUGGUCAAUGGGAGAGAUCCUGAACCAGCCAAGCCGCGUGAGGGAAGACGGCCCUAUGGGUUGUAAACCUCUUUUGUCGGAGAACAAAACCCGGGACGUGUCCCGGACUGCGUGUAUCCGAAGAAAAAGCAUCGGCUAACUCCGUGCCAGCAGCCGCGGUAAUACGGAGGAUGCGAGCGUUAUCCGGAUUUAUUGGGUUUAAAGGGUGCGUAGGCGGGACCUUAAGUCAGCGGUAAAAUUGCGGUGCUCAACGCCGUAGAGCCGUUGAAACUGGGGCUCUUGAGUGAGCGAGAAGUAUGCGGAAUGCGUGGUGUAGCGGUGAAAUGCAUAGAUAUCACGCAGAACCCCGAUUGCGAAGGCAGCAUACCGGCGCUCAACUGACGCUGAGGCACGAAAGUGCGGGUAUCGAACAGGAUUAGAUACCCUGGUAGUC
rnacentral:rRNA from 1 species